GUAUCAGAUCAACACAGGGGAUGCCUUAAGCUUAUACAAUGUUACAUUAAAGCUGGAAAACAAAACAAAACAAAACAAGACAGAGGAGCUGGAGAUAAUCUCAUUAGGAUUUACUAAGAGAUGCCCACCCAAGCAAGCAAUCCUUCCUCUUCCCAGCCUUGAAGUAGAAGGGUAGAGAGUUGACUAUUUGGAGGGAAUUCCUAGAUGUAGCAGGAGAGCCAACGCUUUUUCUCUCCAUACGGAGGAGGGGAGUGCGUCGCCAUAUCCCACUAGCCAGGUGAUGGGGUCCAAAGAGAACCACUACAGAGAGUGGGCUUGUCUUCAAGGGGGCGAGACAGGGCCGUCACUACCAAGUCCGAUGGUCAUUGAGCCGCAGAUGCGAUUGGGGUCACUCUGGACUGCUGUUUGAGAGGGGCAAGAAGACUUUGGGGGGAGGCUGUGGGUGUGUCCUUAGGAGAUGUGGGGUAACCAUGGAGAAAUAGACUCAUCCUUGACAGGAAACGUCUGAAGAUGAAAACCUGGGCUGGAGCUGCCCCUUUCAUCAGUCGACCAGGCUGCGGUUGGUUAUCUGCCAGAGAACCUGUGCACCUGCCGGACCCCAUGGAGGUCAAGCUUAAAUCCUGUAGGGAGGACCCUGCCCAAGAGAACUGCCUGGCAGAGUGAGGCUGAAGGAGGAUGUGGGUGUACACCUGCAUUCUGGGCCAGGAGCCAGUGGUGACCCUCACAGAGGGUCGCCAGAGAGUUCGUCAUCCUUGUGAGGGACUGAUAGGGUGCAGAGGGUCCCGUAGGGUCUCUGAGGCACCACCCCCGAGAGGCCCGUGUCGAUGCCUGCUGUGAAGAGCAUCUUGGCGGCUGUAACAGCACCAGGUCCUGGACCUCUUUUGGUUGCGUUCUCCCCUCCCUUGCCCUGACCCUGCGAUACAGAGAAGAGGAAAGAGAAAGGAGCAGAACAGCCUGUAACUUCUGUUCUGGCUUCUCCAGAAGCAAAUCCUGAGAGGAGGAACCUUGUGAAAGUGAUUCAUUAGAAAGUGUUUUUAGGGAGGCGUAGUGGAAAUGAAUCCGCCUAGUGUGUUCGAUCCUUUGGCCUUGCUCAGUGGGCUGGGGACCAGUGUUGCCAUGAGCGGCGGUGUAGGUUGGAGACGUGGCGCAGGUCUGGCUUUGCUGUGGCUGUGGUGUAGGCCAACAGGUACAGCUCCGAUUCACCCCCUAGCCUGGGAGUUUCCAUAUGCCUUGGGUGGGCCCUAAAAAUAAAUAAAAAUAAGGGGAUGAGGGCACAGGAUGAGGACGAGGAGGACAUCAAGCAGGAGCGCAAUAGAAGCUGACCACAAGCCGAGGGUUCUUGUGAACGUGCGUCAUUGAGAAGUGUUUUUAGGCCAUGUUAAGCGAAGUCCUGUGAUAGUGGUGCUGUAACCAGCUCGGUCCGCAGGCAGAAAUGGGGACAGUGUGGAUCACAUCUCAGAGUUGCCUCAAUCAGGGACGAGAGAUCUGGAGUAUGGGUUCCCUUGCAUCCAUAGUCAUUGGUUAAGGGCGGUCUGUGGUUUGGGAGAAUGUAAAUGCUGAGAUACUUCCUGUUUCCUGUGUGCCCAGGUGAAGCACCUUCUAGCAGCCUGAGAGCAGUCCCCUGACAAAGAGAUGCAGGUGCUGGUUGUUAAGAAAAAACUCACAUUGGAAACUAGUGUGCAUGACAAGAAUGAAGGGAUCUGAUCAAAAUCCUGGCCGUGUCUGCUACAGCCCAGACCUCCAGAUCCCGAGUAGGUGGCAUAUAAAGCAUUAGUUGGAUGUGAGAUUAAAGUUUAGCUUUAUUCUAGACUGCACCUUUGAGACCUUAAAUUAAGACUGAUCUUAUAGCCGAUUAUAUAGGCAAGAAAAACUCCAAGAAAAUCUGCUUAGUAGCAAUGGAAUGACGCAUUAGUAUGUGAUGCUCUUUAUCAGCUCGAGGAGGUUCCCUUUUAUUUCUAGUUUGCUUCGAGUUUCAAAAAGAUCAUAACUGGCUAUUGAAUUUGGUCUAAUGCUCUUCUAAAUGAAUCGAUCCUAUUAAAUGGAUCUUCUUCUAUUGUUAAUUUAGUGGAUCACAUUGAUUUUUGAAUAUCGAGCCAACCUUGCCGUCCGGCAGCAAGCCUCACUUGGUCAUAGUUGUUACACUUUUUUUUAGUUGCUAGAUUCAAAUUGUUAGUGUUUUGUUGAGGAGUUUUAUAUCCAUGGGCAUGAGAGACAUUGGUCUGUAGUUUUCUUCUCUCAUGUUAUCUUUGUCUCACUUGGUAGCGGGGAAAAUGCUAGCUUGAUAAAACGAGAAAUAUUCCCUCCUCUUCUAUUUUUCUGGAAAAGAUUAUAUAGAAUUGGUGUUCUUUAAGUGUUUGGGAGAAUGCUCUAGUUAAGCCAUCUAGGGCUGGAGAUUUCUUUUUUGGAAGGUUUUAGAUUAUGAAUUCAAUUUCUUUCAUUGUUAUGGAACUACCAAUUUUUAAAAAAUUUCUGUCUUUUUAGGGCCACACCCGAAGCACAUGGAGGUCCCCAGACUAGGGGUCAAAUCGGAGCUGUAGCCACUGACCUACACCACAAUGACGGCAACGCCAGAUCUGAGCCGCGUCUGUGACCUGCACCACAGCUCAUGGCAACACCGGAUCCUAAUCCACUGAGCGACGCCAGGGAUCGAACCUGCAUCCUCAUGGAUCCUAGUUAGAUUCGUUUCCCCUGAGCCACGACAGGAACUCCUGUACCACAUUUUCUUAAUCCAUUCAUCUGUUGAUGGACAUUUAGGUUGUUUCCAUGUCUUGGCUGCAGUGAACAUGGGGGUGCAUGUAUCUUUUUGCAUGGAAGUUUUGUGCAGAUACAUGCCCAGGCUGGGAUUGCCGGAUCCUAUGGUAGUUCUGUAUUUAGUUUUCUGAGGAAUCUCCAUACUGUUUUCCAUAGUGGUUAUACCAGUAUGUUGACUGUUUUUUUCUUUUUUAUCCUGUUCAGGCCUCACCUGCAGCAUAUGGAAGUUCCCAGGCUAGGGGUUGAAUCUGAGCUAAAGCUGCCAGCCUACACUACAGCCACAGCAACAUGGAUCCAGGCCGAGUCUGUGACCUACAGCUUACACCCCAGCUCAUGGCAGCGCUGGAUCCUUAAACCACUGAGUGGGGCACCAGGGAUUGAACCUGCAUCAUGGAUACUAGUCGGAUUCAUUUCCACUGCGCCAUGACGGGAACUCCCUCUACUUCUAGAUAUUUAACCAAGAGACGUGUUUGCUCGUUAGCACAAACAGGAAUAUAUAAGCCUAUUCAUGUCAACAUUAUUUAUAAAAGCCGAGGACACAAGCAUUUCAAAAGUGUGUCACUAAGGGAAUCGUGAAAUAAAGUCUGGAACAUCCACACCCUGGAACAUCAUGCAGCCGUUGAACAGAAAGAGAUGGGCUGCCCCGUGGGAAGAUGCUCAAGAUCCAUUUUUAGGCAGAAACAUGUUUAAGAGAAAACUUUGUGAUAGGGAGAAAAAAAUCUUCACUGCUUAUGUGUAUGGGUUCUUACAGGCAUAUCAGUGUAUCUGAAGAUACAUCAGUAUGCUAUCUCUAGGCUUGAGGGCUAGAAAUGGGAUAAAUUUCUUCUUUUACUACCUUCCCCUGACCUCUCACGCCUGAGCCCUUGGUGAGGAUACAGCUUAAAUCAGUGGCCGGGAGUUCCCGCUGUGGCUCAAAGGGAUCGGUGGCAUCUCUGCAGUGCCGGGGUGUAGGUUCAGUCCCUGGCCUGGCCCCGUGGGUUAAAGGAUCCAGUGCUGCUGCAGCUGCCAUGUAGGUCGCAACUGUGGAUCGGGUUGGAUAUCUGGCCUGGGAACUCCAUAUGCUGAAGGGCGGCCAGAAAUGAAAAAAGAAAAAAAAAAA
rnacentral:lncRNA from 1 species